rnacentral:rRNA from 1 species
UCAAUAUAAGUUGAUUAAAAUUUAUUUAUUAAUUUUUUAUUUGUCUAAUUUAAUUUAUUAAAAAUAAUUAUAAAAUUUAUGGUUUUAGUAUUUUAUAAAGAAUAGAUAAUUUUAAUUAUAGUUAAUUAGUAUUGUGAAAGAAUAUUGAAAUAAUUUGAAAAAUUUUUAUUAAAAAAGAAAAUUUAAUUUAUUGUACCUUGUGUAUCAGGGUUUAUUAAAUAAAAAAUAAAUAUUUGUUUUUCUCGAUUUCGGAAGAGUUAAUAAAUUAUAAAAGUUAAUGUAUUAAAAUUAUUUUUAAUAAUUUAUUAGAAAUGAAAUGUUAUUCGUUUUUGAAGGUAUCUAGUUUUUUUAGAAAUAAAUUUAAUUUACAAUUUUUAAAAUUAUUUAAUUAGUUAAAUUAAUUAAAUAAAUUUUUAAAUUGAAUAUCUUAUGGGAUAAGCUAUAAGAUAAAAUUUUAAAAAUAAUGAAUAAUGUAAUUAAAUAUAUGCUUAGAAUUAGCAAUUGUUGAUAAAUUUGUUAUAAUUUAUUUUAUAAUUUAAAUUAUUUAUUAAAUUUUAAUUUUUUAUAAAAAUGUUAAUUUUAAUUUUAUAAAUUAAUUAAUAAUGAUAAAAUUAGUAUAUUUUUUGUAUAAAUAAGUUAAUUUGGUAAGUUUAUGUAAAGAAUUCGGCAAAUUUAUAUUCGCCUGUUUAACAAAAACAUGUCUUUUUGAAUUUAUUUUAAAGUCUGACCUGCCCACUGAAAUAAUUUAAAUGGCCGCAGUAUAUUAACUGUGCAAAGGUAGCAUAAUCAUUAGUCUUUUAAUUGAAGGCUGGUAUGAAUGGUUGGACGAGAUAUAAACUGUUUCAUAUGAAUUUAAAAUAGAAUUUUAUUUUUUAGUCAAAAAGCUAAAAUUUUUUUAAAAGACGAGAAGACCCUAUAAAUCUUAAUAAUUAUUAUUAUUUUGAUUUAAAGAUUAAUUUUAUUAUAAUAGUAAUAAUUAUUUUAUUGGGGUGAUAUUAAAAUUUAAUAAACUUUUAAUUAUAAAAAUCAUUAAUUUAUGAUUAAUUGAUCCGUUAAUAACGAUUAAAAAUUUAAGUUACUUUAGGGAUAACAGCGUAAUUUUUUUGGAGAGUUCAUAUCGAUAAAAAAGAUUGCGACCUCGAUGUUGGAUUAAGAUAUAAUUUUAGGUGUAGCCGCUUAAAUUUUAAGUCUGUUCGACUUUUAAAUUCUUACAUGAUCUGAGUUCAAACCGGUG